GACGAACGCUGGCGGCGUGCUUAACACAUGCAAGUCGAACGGAAAGGCCCUGCUUUUGUGGGGUGCUCGAGUGGCGAACGGGUGAUGAACACGUGAGUAACCUGCCCUUGACUUUGGGAUAACUUCAGGAAACUGGGGCUAAUACCGGAUAGGUGCUCCUGCUGCAUGGUGGGGGUUGGAAAGUUUCGGCGGUUGGGGAUGGACUCGCGGCUUAUCAGCUUGCUGGUGGGGUAGUGGCUUACCAAGGCUUUGACGAGUAGCCGGCCUGGGAGGGUGAGCGGCCACAUUGGGACUGAGAUACGGACCAGACUCCUACGGGAGGGAGCGGUGGGGAAUAGUGCACUAGGGGAGGAAGCCUAAUGCAGCAACGCCGCGUGCGGGAUGACGGCCUUCGGGUUGUAUACCGAUUUCGCCUGUGACGGAGAGAGAGUGACGGUAAUGGGUAAAGAAGCACCGGCUAACUACGUG
rnacentral:rRNA from 1 species